CCCACUCCCCACGCCGUUGCUCUCUCCCACACACACCCAACGCCACCACCGUCGCGUCGAUCCCGCGGCCACCGGCCUCCCUUGGUCGCGCCAAGAUGCCCAGAAGCAUCCUCCUCGUCGUCUCCUUCGUCCUCGAACAGUGAAUCAAGCCGGGAAGGCCCGUACGCUCGCCAUCGAGCUCGUCGUCACUGCAUACAUCAUCGUCACCGCCGUCGAUGGCCGCCACUUCGACCGUCCCCGGCCCCACCGACCACUGCGUCGUGACCACUGU
rnacentral:rRNA from 1 species